CUUAAUGGCACUAGCCCGCUCUCCUGGUCAGGCUGGGGAGGAGUUUUUGAGAAACCCUCAGACUCACAGGGGAGAAUUUUUGUUCCAACUGCUAAACCAAAAUACUUUGGUUUAAAGAAGGCUGCUGACCAUUUUAUCACUAGCCACAAGUUGCCGAAGGGAAGAAAUGCAGAUGCAUGAAACCCAGUCAAACCCGCAAGACGAUAAGUAGUUACUGGUCUAAGAGUGAAAGAAUCAUGUGAUUCCACCCCAACACAGGCAUUGUUUCAGGAACCCCUGGAAGUCCUGGUGUGACUUUGCUAUCUGCUCCUGGAUACUGCUCACAACUGGUUUG